GUAGGGAAUAUUGCGCAAUGGACGCAAGUCUGACGCAGCAACGCCGCGUGAGCGAUGAAGGUCUUCGGAUCGUAAAGCUCUGUCAGAGGGGACGAACCGUUCCGUGCUUAAUAAGCACGGGGCCUGACGGUACCCUCAGAGGAAGCACCGGCCAACCCCGUGCCAGCAGCCGCGGUAAUACGGGGGGUGCGAGCGUUGUUCGGAUUUACUGGGCGUAAAGGGCGUGCAGGCGGGUCGACAAGUCCUGUGUGUAAUCUCCCGGCUCAACCGGGAAACUGCAUGGGAAACUAUUGAUCUUGAGUGCGAGAGAGGAUGGCGGAAUUCCUGGUGUAGCGGUGAAAUGCGUAGAUAUCAGGAGGAACACCGGUGGCGAAGGCGGCCAUCUAGCUCGACACUGACGCUGAGACGCGAAGGCCGGGGGAGCAAACAGGAUUAGAUACCCCGGUAGUCC
rnacentral:rRNA from 1 species